ACCCAGAAUGAGAAGUGACCACCUGCUAAAAGCAAGGUCAGAUUACAACCACUUGUACUGCCUUCCGCUGGUAACCAGUCUCACCCAACAUGUUUUAUAUAGUUCCAUCACGGCAUGUACAUGUACACACGACCUUGCAUACCAGUCAGUACCAGAACAGAAACUGCCUGUGUAGCAGAUUUGAAUUCAGUCAGUUGGACCAAAGUGGACCAUGGAGCUAUGGUGGGAAGGAUCGAGGAAUGGGUUUGCUGGAAACAAAAAAUACAUGUAUUGUCAUGAUUGUACUUGUUUGUACAAGACGUUUGAGAUGAAAUUGCUCAAACCAUGAAUGUUGGCAGUAAAGUGCAUGCCUAUGGAAACUUUCAAGAAUUAAUUGCUGUUCUUGCAAACACAUUUGAUGGAGAUUUAACUGUGUGCCUCCAUGGUGUAAUGUUGCCUACAUCUCCGGAUGAUCAUGAUUUGCACGGUGCUGUACUACUCUGCUAGAAUUACGGAAGACGUGAAGGGUCUGGGUGAAAACGAUGGUGACUGACUUCCUCAAAUGAUACAUCUAGAAUUCUACAUCUACCUGUCUCCAUGAUCCUUUGCGCUAUGCAUGGAUAUGAUCUACCAAAAACUACCGAGAUGAGCUGCAGUAUGUGCAUGUACAAGACAAAGACUGUCUGACUGCUUCUGCCCCGGCUCUGCAAAUUGGAGGCAGCGGCAUGCAUCCUUAACAAGCAGUUGGAAUCAUCAUCCUAAUCUACAAGAUGUCAGUUCCGGAAACUACAAUGGACAUUACUUUUAAAAAGAUUAUCAUAAAGUUUGUUCCAUACAUACACACAUGAACAUGCAAAUGAUAUACAGGUAUGUCACAGCUUGAUAGAAUGACUCUUGGAAAUUACGAUCAGUACUUUCCUUCAAACUUCCAAUUCUAGUUGUCAAACGUGUCUGAAUACCAUUGCCUUUCAACAAAGCUCUAUGCAUGGUUUUACAAACUGAAUAUAGGCAUGGAUUGUUGCAACCAUCACAAGUCUUUCAUGCAUGUGUCUUUCUUGCCAAAUUUAUAGUAUCCCUCUCAGGAAAACAAUUCAUAUAAAAAUGUGUUUAUUUAUUUUUUUUAGCCCAACUUCUGCUACUUUUUUCACCACAUUAACCGUGUACACUGUACAGACUGUGUUCAUUAUUGGUGCCUUUGAUUUUAAUACACUGCACUGGAAAGAUAUCUGCUCAUCCCCUACAUGCACAAAUUUGUAAAUUCAGAAGAAUU
rnacentral:lncRNA from 1 species